GCCGGGCUCUCACCGCCUACAAAUGCGGCUCCCCCGCAGCGGGGCCGCCGCCGCCCCCCAGCCCCCCCGGCAUGGCCGCGCCGCGCUGGCUCCUGGCGCUGCUGCUCCUCUGCCUCGUCCUGGCCGCCGCGGGGCCGCUGGGCCAGGCGCCGGACGGGGAGGAUGGGGAGGAUGGCCUCAUCCGAACACUGGUGCGGCCGCGGGGAGCGCGGCGCGGGGCCGGGCACCGGCCGGGCGGCUGGCGGAGGUACCGACGGCCCCGGCCCCGGCUCUCCCACAAGGGCCCGAUGCCCUUCUGAGGCAGGGUUGCCUCCCAGGGACGCGGCUCCCGUGGCCCGCUCCGUGUCCGAGCCUGCUCCGCUCGCCUCCCGGCCCCGAGCGUGGGGUCCCACCCGUGAGCCCACGGCCAGCGUCACCUCCUCCCUGCGGCUGUCCCUGGGGGUCCCGGCACCGUGGGUGCCCCCCGCCACCCCUCACCGCCUCCCGGGGCUGGCUGGGAGCCGGUCGCCCACGUAGCUCGUGGUGGGGCCAGGUGCUGCCGCGACGCCUCGUGCCGGUGGGCGCGGGGCUGCCCCGGGCAUCGGCGCGCUGGGACCCGUGGGCUUUGCUCAAAGCACUUUGUCAGGCGGAGGAGCUUCUCAGCAGGGGGCUGUGAGCUCCCUCGGGGCUCCUGCCCGUCCCCCACAUGCUGGGGUGAGCACACAGCUUGUCCUGGGGGGGGGUGAUGUCUAUUUAUUCCCACGGUGCUAAUCCCACACCCUGGGUGAGCUGCCCUCCCCUCCCCAGAGAGUGUGGGGCCCCCUUCCCGCUGGCAGACCCAGCUCCUGGGGACCCCCGAGGUGUGGGGUGCCCACCCAGGAUGCGGCGUGGGGCUCUGGGCCUCUCUGGCUGCUCCACGCCACGGGACAGCGGGAGAAUGGGGGGGGGGACGACAGUGGGGUUUCUGUGUCAAACACUGACCUAUGCCAAAGGGGGGGCCCUUGCUCUGAGCGCCAGUGGGUCCUGUUGACCGUGUCUCUUGUGUCUGUAAAGAUUUAUUCCGUGUAAAUACAUCUUUAUAAUAAAGAGUUAUGAUGACAAGAAA